CGCUCAAAUUUUGUGUCUUUUCGCCCCUGCGCCAGAACCAAUCAGCACGAAAACCACCGAUUGACCAGAUUCUUUCCCCAGCUAACAGCCCCACUGAAGCGCCCCUCAAUUCAGCACCAGGAGUCCAGGACGGCACCACGUCCAGCAACCCUCCACCAAACCCCAGCAAAGAACACUUGGUGCACAUCAUCACAUUCGCACCCCAUGGAGAUUAGUAAGCAGAAGUUCAACUCUACGAGUUAUCGUGGAAUAAGGGUGGAGGAUUGGAUUACUGCAGUGAUAUCGCUAGUCAUUAUUGAUGAAGUUGAUACCAUCAUUGAUCCAAGUGCAGUGCAGCUGCCCUGUUGCCCCGGGUAACUGAUGUACAGGUUACUGGUAGUAACCCAGUCAUCAGUUAUUCCUUUGGUGCAUCUUUAGAUAGUUCUAAAGACUUUGCUGAAGAUCUGAGGAUCCCAAAGUUCUCCAAUGAGCUAUGCAACCCGCAGACAUCGCCUCUGAAGAAGAAGAAAAAAUUUCCAGCGCUUCCAACUUUCCCUGACCAACCGGCUCCACAGAGGAUCAUGUGGCGCCUGGUCUUGCAGCUCAAUUCAGAGUCACAGAUCGUUCAAGAGAUUGAAAUUUGCUAAGCUUUGCAUGCUGCUUGAGUUCUGGAGAUAGACCGCAUCCAAACUGUAUGAACUGGUUUGAACUGGUUUUACCGCAGGUUUCAAUUGAUGGAACCGGGGGCUUUGCCCACUGAUCAUCUUAAAAACGCAUCCAGGCUGUGUGAAGUGUUAGUGUUUCAGAGAAUGGAAGUACUUAAGACCAGCAAAGGCACGUAGGUGUAAUCUGCGCCAUGACAGUACAGACUACAUAGUUGAAAUAGAUGUCAGAGUUACAGAGUUGAAAUACAUGUCAAAGAAUUUGACAAUCUAGCUCAGCGAACCUCAGAA